GAUGAACGCUGGCGGCGUGCCUAAUACAUGCAAGUCGAGCGAAGCGGGGCCGGGUGAGUAACACGUGGAUAACCUCCUAUAAGACUGGGAUAACUUCCUGAAACCGGAGCUUAACCCGAUACUUAUCGAUGGAUCCGCGCUGCAUUAGCUAGUUGGUAAGGUAACGGCUUACCAAGGCAACGAUGCAUAGCCGACCUGAGAGGAUGACCGGCCACACUGGAACUGAGACACGGUCCAGACUCCUACGGGAGGCAGCAGUAGGGAAUCUUCCGCAAUGGGCGAAAGCCUGACGGAGCAACGCCGCGUGUGUGAUGAAGGUCUUCGGGUUGUAAAACUCUGUUAGUAGGGAGGCGGUACCUAAACAGAAAGCCACGGCUAACUACGUGCCAGCAGCCGCGGUAAUAC
rnacentral:rRNA from 1 species